rnacentral:rRNA from 3 species
GGGUUGUGAGGUUAAGCGACUAAGCGUACACGGUGGAUGCCCUGGCAGUCAGAGGCGAUGAAGGACGUGCUAAUCUGCGAAAAGCGCCGGCGAGGUGAUAUGAACCCUUGACCCGGCGAUGUCCGAAUGGGGAAACCCAGUGUGUUCCGACACACUAUCGUUAACUGAAUACAUAGGUUAACGAGGCGAACCGGGGGAACUGAAACAUCUAAGUACCCCGAGGAAAAGAAAUCA